rnacentral:rRNA from 1 species
AAACGACAUCGAAAGCUUGCUUUUGAUGGGCGUCGACCGGCGCACGGGUGAGUAACGCGUAUCCAACCUGCCCACCACUUGGGGAUAACCUUGCGAAAGUAAGACUAAUACCCAAUGACGUCUCUAGAAGACAUCUGAAGGAGAUUAAAGAUUUAUCGGUGAUGGAUGGGGAUGCGUCCAAUUAGCUAGUUGGUGAGGUAACGGCCCACCAAGGCGACGAUUGGUAGCCGGACUGAGAGGUUGAACGGCCACAUUGGAACUGAGACACGGCCCAAACUCC